ensembl:misc_RNA Metazoa_SRP Metazoan signal recognition particle RNA
GCCAGGUGUGGUGGCGCACGCCUGUAGUCCCAGCUACUCCGGAGGCCGAGGCAGGAGAAUCGCUUGAACCCGGGAGGCGGAGGUUGCAGUGAGCUGAGAUCGAGCCAUUGCACUCCAGCCUGGGUGACAGAGUGAGAAUCUGUCUCAA